rnacentral:rRNA from 1 species
AACCUGCCCAAGAGAUCGGGAUAACACCUGGAAACAGAUGCUAAUACCGGAUAACAANAGAUGAUGCCUAUCAACUGUUUAAAAGAUGGUUCUGCUAUCACUCUUGGAUGGACCUGCGGUGCAUUAGCUAGUUGGUAGGGUAACGGCCUACCAAGGCGAUGAUGCAUAGCCGAGUUGAGAGACUGAUCGGCCACAUUGGGACUGAGACACGGCCCAAACUCCUACGGGAGGCAGCAGCC